AUGAAGAAGGGGCUGGAUCCGUGGGUCAGAGAACACAGGACCAGUUUGCCAUCCCAAGGCCGAAGAGUCACCGCAGCAGUGAGGGUCACCUCUCUGAAAGGCACCUGCUUAUCUUCCAUCUGUGUCUGUGGAGGGAGAAAACUUGUCUCUACGUCAGCAAAGCUGGUCUGGUGUCUCGGAUUUGACCCUGCGUUGCCCACUCCUGCUGGAUCUUGUCCAGUCGAGGGACAAAACGUCCUGACACCUUCCUGAAGAAUGGGAAGAAAGGAGAUUCUGGAAGCACAGAUUGCAAUACCAUGCUAGAGGCCGAGGAGACCGACGCGAAGGGAUUGCUCCCACACCAACAGGAGCCCUGAGGACGACUGGAGCUGGAGGCACGCAGGCCCAAGAAGGGUGGAAGUAAGUUUAUUUCCCUGGUAGGGCUUAGGGGAUGGUUAGUACUAGGUGGGGAUUGGGAGGUGGGGCUGGGCUGGCCCCUGCUGGGCCAGAAGGCUAAGAAUGGGAGGCAGAUGGGCAAAGCAGGAGGUGACAAGGGAAUGACGAGUAAUAUGAGCGCUUUAGCCCAAGCUGGCCUUGCCUCUCUGCUCAUGCCUUCUGCCCCUCUUUCUGAAUCCUCUCAUCUCUGAUGAUGCUGUUCCAUCCCUGGGUCCUUCCUUCCUCCUGCCAUUCUGUUGGCCCUGUCACCCUUGUUAACCUCUUGCACAGCUUCCCUCCCCCUGCUCCUGUUGUAUCCAGCCCACUGCCCACUCCAUCCUCCUUGUCUUAUCUCUGUCCAUUAUUGACAUGAUGAAAGCAGGAGAAGGGUAGAGUCCAAUCAUGGUAAGUGCUCUCCCUGUUCACAGAUGCCAGCAGUGACCAAGAGCCACCCACAGCGGUUCCCGAGCAGUCUGUCCAGGAUCUACCGAAUGGAGGGCACACGGCAGGUCUCUCUCACUUGGCAACUGCAACUUUGCAACCUGGAACAAAGGCCAGAAAAGCCCAAGAAGGAGCACAAGUCCAAGAGCUUUCAGAGUAACCUUGAGAAAAUUGUCUACUGAAUGGUGACCCGUUCUGCCACUGGAUAUUGUGAGAAGAGACGUUCCCUCGCUCG
rnacentral:lncRNA from 1 species